ensembl:snoRNA
UAUCCCCUUAAAGCUUUGCCCAUUUAAGGCUGUCAGUGUCUUGGGUGGCCAACACAGGGGGGAACAGCACUCCUCUCUUAAACCCGAAGCAGAGGUGCCGUCUCUGGUUCGGAUCCUGUCGGGAGGAACACAU